UACGUAGGGGGCUAGCGUUGUCCGGAAUCAUUGGGCGUAAAGCGCGUGUAGGCGGCCCGGUAAGUCCGCUGUGAAAGUCGGGGGCUCAACCCUCGGAUGCCGGUGGAUACUGUCGGGCUCGAGUACGGAAGAGGCGAGUGGAAUUCCUGGUGUAGCGGUGAAAUGCGCAGAUAUCAGGAGGAACACCAAUUGCGAAGGCAGCUCGCUGGGACGUUACUGACGCUGAGACGCGAAAGCGUGGGAAGCAAACAGG
rnacentral:rRNA from 1 species